AUGGAGCUGUGCGAGGGCGGCGAGCUCUUCGACCGCAUCUUCGCCCGGAGCCACUACACGGAGCGUGUCGCCGCCAAGAUCGGCCGCACCAUCGCGCAGGUCGUGCAGCUGUGCCACGACAACGGGGUCAUGCACCGGGACCUCAAGCCCGAGCUCUUCGCCGGCAAGGAGGAGUACUCGCCGCUCAAGGCCAUCGACUUCGGCCUCUCCGUCUACUUUGAGCCCGGGGAGCGGUUCACCAAGGUCGUCGGCAGGUGGCGGGGAGACGGACGCCAUCCUAGGAGGGAGGGCAGCGCAGGUGGCGGGGCUCGCCGGCCGGCGGGGGCAGAGCGGCAGAGCGGCGGAGUGCACGUAAGGUGUUCGUGGAAAUGA
rnacentral:rRNA from 1 species